AUAAAAUUUUGAUUUUGUUUAGAGGGAACAAACAAAUAUCUUAGAAUCCUAGAUAUUCAAAAAAUAUUCUCAAAAUAGCCACAUUAGCAGAGUUCUUGUCCUAAAGCAUCUUAAUACAAACCGUAAAUAACACGAUACUCAUGAAAAGUUAGCAUAUAAUAUUUACAGUAACAUGGUACAAUCAUUCCAAAUAUGGCAUACCUAUGAAGUACAUCCAUGAGCAAAACUAAUUUCAAAUCACCAAGUGCCUUAGUUGAUUAGUGCAUUAGUUCCAUGUCGCAUACUAAGUCUUGAUGCUGAUAUAGUAGUGGUUGAGAGUGCAACCUAUAAAGCAAAUAUAUUAGAUAGAGCAAGACAUGUCAAUUGUAUUUCUCAAAUAGGAAACCAAAUCAUACCUUGCCUCUGUUUAAAAUUUGAUUUCUUUCAUGUACUAAGAUGCACAUUUUAUUUCAGGUAGUGUAACUAUAAGAUACUACGAUACAUGUUCUAUUCCAUGUUCUAUUCUAGGUAGUGUAAUAACUAAUUUAGAACUUCAAGGACCCAAAGAACAUAACUUGUCUUUACUGUUCUAAAGCAAAAAGGCUGCAGAGCGUAAUUGAUAAGGAUCCCAUCCUCAUCCAUUGUGAUAGUUGGUUGCAAAUCUUUUCUCCCACCAAGCAAAAAGAAUUUCAUAGUCAGUGUAGCAUAUGAGCUAUCAAAAAGGAAAACAAUGCUUCUCUAUACUACAACGUUGCAGGCACUAACUAAUAAGGUUAUGUGCUCCUGAAAAUCAGGAUAGCAUCAUCAUCACUGCUGAAAAAUCUAGCAUGAGCUCAAGUUGCUAUUUAUCUAUGCUUCUUGUGAUCUCUGCAUUGCCAAAUCAUAGAAAAUAAAACAAUGUCAAACUAUUGGCUUACAUAAGGGUAGGUAGAAAUGAAACCAUCCUAAUACACACAGAUUCAGCAAUUGAUGACUCCAUUCGAGAAAAACAUUAGGUAUAUGGUGAUAAGACACUACCUUCUAAUCUAGUGGUACACACUAAAAACAUGGACACUAAAAUGUUGAAAAUGACACUUUAUAGAAUCCAGUAGAUUACCAAUAAGAAGACACUUUCACUGACAAUGCUUUGGCUUCCUAUAUCUGCAUGGCCAUUCCAAAUAGACUCUGCAUGUACAUAGAGACUACUUCCGUUAAUCAGAAAAAUUGUCUGGACUGGUUCAAACAACAGAGAAUGAAUAGAACUGUGGCAAGAAAGGAUACAUCCAAGAGGCCACAGUGGAGAUUGAUUCUUAUCAAUGUCGAG
rnacentral:lncRNA from 1 species